AAAUUGAAGAGUUUGAUCAUGGCUCAGAUUGAACGCUGGCGGCAGGCCUAACACAUGCAAGUCGAACGGUAACAGAAAGCAGCUUGCUGCUUUGCUGACGAGUGGCGGACGGGUGAGUAAUGUCUGGGAAACUGCCUGAUGGAGGGGGAUAACUACUGGAAACGGUAGCUAAUACCGCAUAAUGUCGCAAGACCAAAGAGGGGGACCUUCGGGCCUCUUGCCAUCGGAUGUGCCCAGAUGGGAUUAGCUAGUAGGUGGGGUAACGGCUCACCUAGGCGACGAUCCCUAGCUGGUCUGAGAGGAUGACCAGCCACACUGGAACUGAGACACGGUCCAGACUCCUACGGGAGGCAGCAGUGGGGAAUAUUGCACAAUGGGCGCAAGCCUGAUGCAGCCAUGCCGCGUGUAUGAAGAAGGCCUUCGGGUUGUAAAGUACUUUCAGCGGGGAGGAAGGGAGUAAAGUUAAUACCUUU
rnacentral:rRNA from 1 species